AUUGCUAACAACUACUGCUGAAACACCUGCAAAAUUCGCUGUUUUCCAUUCUUCCAGAAACUGCCUUUUCGAUUUGUUUUUGUGUACUAGUCUAGGAACCUGAGCUUCAACGACGGAGCUAAAUGAAUUCCGGGUGAGCUACCCCUCCCCCCAGCCGCAGUCUAAAAAUUUUGGCUGAAUGUCUAAAGAAGCUACGAGCACCCGGAGGCCUUUAAGGAAAACAGUCAACUGGCUGCACACAGCUGCAGUUGGGGGCAGGGAGGGAGAGCUGCUGGAGAGGCCAAACAGAUUGAGCCACUGAGUUCUUCCAAAUACAGAAGUUGUGGAUCUGCCACUGCCACAGACUGUAACAUAAAUCACCAUACAGUAUGCAGAGCACAGUGUCAGGCUCAUAGGAACCUGUUGGUAAGUAUUGUGUAUUAUUAGUAUUGAUAUUAAUGUUAGUACUAUUGCUAGUUAACAGGUUAAAGUACUUUGUAAAUUGCAUAAACUGUAAAGAACAUUAUUCUUACUAUUACUACUAAUUGUAAUAAAGUACAGUUGAAGCA